UACAGAGGUCUCAAGCGUUUGUUCGGAUUCAUUGGGCGUAAAGGGUGCGUAGGUGGCGCCGUAAGUCGGGUGUGAAAUUUCGGAGCUUAACUCCGAAACUGCAUUCGAUACUGCGGUGCUUGAGGACUGGAGAGGAGACUGGAAUUCAUGGUGUAGCAGUGAAAUGCGUAGAGAUCAUGAGGAACACCAGAAGCGAAGGCGGCUCACUGGCCCGAUACUGACGCUGAGGCGCGAAAGCGUGGGGAGCAAACAGG
rnacentral:rRNA from 1 species